ACACGGUGGAUGCCCUGGCAGUCAGAGGCGAUGAAGGACGUGCUAAUCUGCGAUAAGCGUCGGUGAGGUGAUAUGAACCGUUAUAACCGGCGAUUUCCGAAUGGGGAAACCCAGUGUGUUUCGACACACUAUCAUUAACUGAAUCCAUAGGUUAAUGAGGCGAACCGGGGGAACUGAAACAUCUAAGUACCCCGAGGAAAAGAAAUCAACCGAGAUUCCCCCAGUAGCGGCGAGCGAACGGGGAGGAGCCCAGAGCCUGAAUCAGUGUGUGUGUUAGUGGAAGCGUCUGGAAAGGCGCGCGAUACAGGGUGACAGCCCCGUACACAAAAAUGCACAUAUUGUGAGCUCGAUGAGUAGGGCGGGACACGUGGUAUCCUGUCUGAAUAUGGGGGGACCAUCCUCCAAGGCUAAAUACUCCUGACUGACCGAUAGUGAACCAGUACCGUGAGGGAAAGGCGAAAAGAACCCCGGCGAGGGGAGUGAAAAAGAACCUGAAACCGUGUACGUACAAGCAGUGGGAGCCUCUUUAUGGGGUGACUGCGUACCUUUUGUAUAAUGGGUCAGCGACUUAUAUUCUGUAGCAAGGUUAACCGAAUAGGGGAGCCGAAGGGAAACCGAGUCUUAACUGGGCGUUAAGUUGCAGGGUAUAGACCCGAAACCCGGUGAUCUAGCCAUGGGCAGGUUGAAGGUUGGGUAACACUAACUGGAGGACCGAACCGACUAAUGUUGAAAAAUUAGCGGAUGACUUGUGGCUGGGGGUGAAAGGCCAAUCAAACCGGGAGAUAGCUGGUUCUCCCCGAAAGCUAUUUAGGUAGCGCCUCGUGAAUUCAUCUCCGGGGGUAGAGCACUGUUUCGGCAAGGGGGUCAUCCCGACUUACCAACCCGAUGCAAACUGCGAAUACCGGAGAAUGUUAUCACGGGAGACACACGGCGGGUGCUAACGUCCGUCGUGAAGAGGGAAACAACCCAGACCGCCAGCUAAGGUCCCAAAGUCAUGGUUAAGUGGGAAACGAUGUGGGAAGGCCCAGACAGCCAGGAUGUUGGCUUAGAAGCAGCCAUCAUUUAAAGAAAGCGUAAUAGCUCACUGGUCGAGUCGGCCUGCGCGGAAGAUGUAACGGGGCUAAACCAUGCACCGAAGCUGCGGCAGCGACACUAUGUGUUGUUGGGUAGGGGAGCGUUCUGUAAGCCUGUGAAGGUGGCCUGUGAGGGUUGCUGGAGGUAUCAGAAGUGCGAAUGCUGACAUAAGUAACGAUAAAGCGGGUGAAAAGCCCGCUCGCCGGAAGACCAAGGGUUCCUGUCCAACGUUAAUCGGGGCAGGGUGAGUCGACCCCUAAGGCGAGGCCGAAAGGCGUAGUCGAUGGGAAACAGGUUAAUAUUCCUGUACUUGGUGUUACUGCGAAGGGGGGACGGAGAAGGCUAUGUUGGCCGGGCGACGGUUGUCCCGGUUUAAGCGUGUAGGCUGGUUUUCCAGGCAAAUCCGGAAAACCAAGGCUGAGGCGUGAUGACGAGGCACUACGGUGCUGAAGCGACAAAUGCCCUGCUUCCAGGAAAAGCCUCUAAGCAUCAGGUAACAUCAAAUCGUACCCCAAACCGACACAGGUGGUCAGGUAGAGAAUACCAAGGCGCUUGAGAGAACUCGGGUGAAGGAACUAGGCAAAAUGGUGCCGUAACUUCGGGAGAAGGCACGCUGAUAUGUAGGUGAAGCGACUUGCUCGUGGAGCUGAAAUCAGUCGAAGAUACCAGCUGGCUGCAACUGUUUAUUAAAAACACAGCACUGUGCAAACACGAAAGUGGACGUAUACGGUGUGACGCCUGCCCGGUGCCGGAAGGUUAAUUGAUGGGGUUAGCGGUAACGCGAAGCUCUUGAUCGAAGCCCCGGUAAACGGCGGCCGUAACUAUAACGGUCCUAAGGUAGCGAAAUUCCUUGUCGGGUAAGUUCCGACCUGCACGAAUGGCGUAAUGAUGGCCAGGCUGUCUCCACCCGAGACUCAGUGAAAUUGAAUUCGCUGUGAAGAUGCAGUGUACCCGCGGCAAGACGGAAAGACCCCGUGAACCUUUACUAUAGCUUGACACUGAACAUUGAGCCUUGAUGUGUAGGAUAGGUGGGAGGCUUUGAAGUGUGGACGCCAGUCUGCAUGGAGCCGACCUUGAAAUACCACCCUUUAAUGUUUGAUGUUCUAACGUUGGCCCGUAAUCCGGGUUGCGGACAGUGUCUGGUGGGUAGUUUGACUGGGGCGGUCUCCUCCUAAAGAGUAACGGAGGAGCACGAAGGUUGGCUAAUCCUGGUCGGACAUCAGGAGGUUAGUGCAAUGGCAUAAGCCAGCUUGACUGCGAGCGUGACGGCGCGAGCAGGUGCGAAAGCAGGUCAUAGUGAUCCGGUGGUUCUGAAUGGAAGGGCCAUCGCUCAACGGAUAAAAGGUACUCCGGGGAUAACAGGCUGAUACCGCCCAAGAGUUCAUAUCGACGGCGGUGUUUGGCACCUCGAUGUCGGCUCAUCACAUCCUGGGGCUGAAGUAGGUCCCAAGGGUAUGGCUGUUCGCCAUUUAAAGUGGUACGCGAGCUGGGUUUAGAACGUCGUGAGACAGUUCGGUCCCUAUCUGCCGUGGGCGCUGGAGAACUGAGGGGGGCUGCUCCUAGUACGAGAGGACCGGAGUGGACGCAUCACUGGUGUUCGGGUUGUCAUGCCAAUGGCACUGCCCGGUAGCUAAAUGCGGAAGAGAUAAGUGCUGAAAGCAUCUAAGCACGAAACUUGCCCCGAGAUGAGUUCUCCCUGAGACUUAGAGUCUCCUGAAGGAACGUUGAAGACGACGACGUUGAUAGGCCGGGUGUGUAAGCGCAGCGAUGCGUUGAGCUAACCGGUACUAAUGAACCGUGAGGCUUAACCUUACAACGCCGAAG
rnacentral:rRNA from 1 species